GCUGGGCCAGGUGGCGUAUGCCUGUAAUCCAUAUGGCUCAGGAGGGUGAGGCAGGAGGAUCACAAGUUCAAAGCCAGCCUUAGCACUGUGAGGCUGCUAAGCAACUCAGUGAGACCCUGUCUCUA
rnacentral:sRNA from 1 species